UAGCGCUUAAGCGCGAACU
rnacentral:snRNA from 1 species